UGCUGAGGAGUCCCACAACAGGACGAAACGACCGUCCA
rnacentral:hammerhead_ribozyme from 1 species